rnacentral:rRNA from 1 species
AGAGUUUGAUCCUGGCUCAGGACGAACGCUGGCGGCGUGCCUAACACAUGCAAGUCGAACGGAAGAUCUAAUAAGCUUACUUAGAGGAUCUUUAGUGGCGGACGGGUGAGUAACGCGUGGAUAACCUACCCAUGAGACCGGGACAACCCUUGGAAACGAGGGCUAAUACCGGAUAUUCUUACCGAAGGGCAUCCUAAGGUAAGGAAAGGUGGCCUCUGAACAUGCUACCGUUUAUGGAUGGAUCCGCGUCUGAUUAGCUAGUUGGUGGGGUAAAGGCCUACCAAGGCGACGAUCAGUAGCCGGCCUGAGAGGGUGAACGGCCACACUGGGACUGAGACACGGCCCAGACUCCUACGGGAGGCAGCAGUGGGGAAUCUUCCGCAAUGGACGAAAGUCUGACGGAGCAACGCCGCGUGUACGACGAAGGCCUUCGGGUUGUAAAGUACUGUCUUCAGGGACGAAUGGUAGAGGUGUGAAUAAUGCCUUUACAUGACGGUACCUGAGGAGGAAGCCCCGGCUAACUACGUGCCAGCAGCCGCGGUAAUACGUAGGGGGCAAGCGUUGUCCGGAAUCAUUGGGCGUAAAGGGCGCGUAGGCGGAUAUUUAAGUCUGGUGUGAAAGACUGGGGCUCAACCCCAGGGUUGCAUCGGAAACUGGAUAUCUUGAGGACAGGAGAGGAAAGUGGAAUUCCACGUGUAGCGGUGAAAUGCGUAGAUAUGUGGAGGAACACCAGUGGCGAAGGCGACUUUCUGGACUGUAACUGACGCUGAGGCGCGAAAGCGUGGGGAGCAAACAGGAUU